CUCAGGACGAACGUUGGCGGCGUGCUUAACACAUGCAAGUCUGCGAGAAAGUUAUAGCAAUAUAGCGAGUAAAGCGGCGAAAGGGUGCGUAACGCGUAAGCAACUUGCCCAUAGGAUGGGGAUAACGUCGAGAAAUCGGCGCUAAUACCCAAUAAUGCAGCGGCAUCGCAUGAUGAUGUUGUUAAAGGUCGCUUCGGUGGCGCCUAUGGAUGGGCUUGCGUCUGAUUAGUUAGUUGGCGAGGUAACGGCUCACCAAGACGACGAUCAGUAGCUGGUCUGAGAGGAUGAUCAGCCACACUGGAACUGAGACACGGUCCAGACUCCUACGGGAGGCAGCAGUGAGGAAUAUUGGGCAAUGCCCGCAAGGGUGACCCAGCAACGCCGCGUGGAGGACGACAGCCGUAAGGUUGUAAACUCCUGUUCGGGGGGACGAAUAACCGUCGUUUGCAAAGGCGACGGCUUGACGGUACCCUCAGAGAAAGCCCCGGCUAACUACGUGCCAGCAGCCGCGGUAAUACGUAGGGGGCAAACGUUGUCCGGAUUUACUGGGUGUAAAGGGCGCGCAGGCGGGUCGGUCAGUCAGAGGUGAAAGCCCACAGCUUAACUGUGGAACUGCCUUUGAUACUGCCGAUCUUGAGUGCGGGAGAGAGAAGCGGAAUUCCAGGUGUAGUGGUGAAAUACGUAGAUAUCUGGAAGAACACCGGUUGCGAAGGCGGCUUCUUGGACCGACACUGACGCUGAGGCGCGAAAGCGUGGGGAGCGAACAGGAUUAGAUACCCUGGUAGUCCACGCUGUAAACGAUGAAUGUUAGAUGUCGGGGGAUUUUUCCUUCGGCGUCAAAGUUAACGCAUUACACAUUCCACCUGGGAAGUACGAUCG
rnacentral:rRNA from 1 species